rnacentral:rRNA from 1 species
UACGUAGGGGGCAAGCGUUGUCCGGAAUCAUUGGGCGUAAAGGGCGUGUAGGCGGCUCAGUAAGUCCGCUCUGAAAGCCCGGGGCUUAACCCCGGGAGGCGGGUGGAUACUGCUGAGCUUGAGUCCGGAAGAGGCGAGUGGAAUUCCCGGUGUAGCGGUGAAAUGCGCAGAUAUCGGGAGGAACACCAAUGGCGAAGGCAGCUCGCUGGGACGUGACUGACGCUGAGACGCGAAAGCGUGGGGAGCGAACAGG